rnacentral:rRNA from 1 species
UACGUAGGGGGCUAGCGUUGUCCGGAUUUACUGGGCGUAAAGGGCGCGUAGGCGGCCACCGCAAGUCGGUUGUGAAAUCUCUGGGCUUAACCCAGAAAGGUCAACCGAUACUGCGGGGCUAGAGUGCAGAAGGGGCAACUGGAAUUCUCGGUGUAGCGGUGAAAUGCGUAGAUAUCGAGAGGAACACCUGCGGCGAAGGCGGGUUGCUGGGCUGACACUGACGCUGAAGCGCGAAAGCUAGGGGAGCGAACGGG